UACGUAGGGUGCAAGCGUUGUCCGGAAUUAUUGGGCGUAAAGAGCUCGUAGGCGGUCUGUCACGUCGGCUGUGAAAACCCGAGGCUCAACCUCGGGCCUGCAGUCGAUACGGGCAAACUAGAGUACUGCAGGGGGAGACUGGAAUUCCUGGUGUAGCGGUGAAAUGCGCAGAUAUCAGGAGGAACACCGGUGGCGAAGGCGGGUCUCUGGGGCAGUAACUGACGCUGGAGGAGCGAA
rnacentral:rRNA from 1 species